AACGCGAAGAACCUUACCUGGGCUCGAAGCACAGUGGACCGGGGUAGAAAUAUCCCUUUUCGCAAGAACUGCUGUGGAGGUGCUGCAUGGCUGUCGUCAGCUCGUGUCGUGAGAUGUUGGGUUAAGUCCCGCAACGAGCGCAACCCUUAUCGUUAGUUGCCAGCGGGUCAAGCCGGGCACUCUAGCGAAACCGCCUCGGAUAACGGGGAGGAAGGUGGGGAUGACGUCAAGUCCUCAUGGCCUUUAUGUCCAGGGCUACAAGCGUGCUACAAUGGAUUGCACAAAGGGUCGCAAACUCGCGAGAGCCAGCUAAUCCCAAAAAGCAAUCCUCAGUUCGGAUCGGAGUCUGCAACUCGACUCCGUGAAGUUGGAAUCGCUAGUAAUCGCGGAUCAGAACGCCGCGGUGAAUACGUUCCCGGGCCUUGUACACACCGACUGUAC
rnacentral:rRNA from 1 species